rnacentral:rRNA from 1 species
UACGUAGGUGGCGAGCGUUGUCCGGAAUUACUGGGUGUAAAGCGCGUGUAGGCGGCAGGCCAAGUCGGUGGUGAAAGCGCCCGGCUCAACUGGGCGAGGUCCAUGGAAACUGGUCAGCUGGAGGACGGUAGAGGCGAGUGGAAUUCCCGGUGUAGUGGUGAAAUGCGUAGAGAUCGGGAGGAACACCUGUGGCGAAGGCGGGUCUCUGGGCCGAUACUGACGCUGAGGAGCGAAAGCGUGGGAGCGAACGAGGA